rnacentral:lncRNA from 1 species
CAGCUAGACGCCCCAGCCGGACCCCCAACCAGCGCCGCGGCGCCCCCGCCGUUCAGCUCCAGGAGCAGAGGACAAACACAGACGCGGUUUACCACCUUCUCCUCGCGCCCGGCGGAGCCUCGGUGUUUCCCGACGCUCCAGGCUCACAAACCAUCAGGAGCUCUCUGCAGUUUCUCGGAAGCAGCACGCGCCCAGCUGCUGCCAGCCUCUCCGCCCAGGCCGCCCGGGGCAACGAUGCCCUCCGGUCCCCAAAGGCUCGGGGACAGGUGCCCGGCUGACAAAUCUCCAGCGUCUACCCCUCUCCUCCCCAGCAAAAGAAAGCUGCUCGAGGAAAUCUUUCAACAAAGUAUCCUCAUCAUUUGACUGGAUUACUACCCAAGAGAGUGGGGAAUACGGAGCUUCAGAGUCAGCUGCUGCAGUGUUAGAGAAUGGUCGGUGACACUCAUAUCCAGGAGUGAGAACGUGGGUUUGGAGCUUCAGGAUUUACUUAGAUACCUGGUUGGUAUUUCCUACUUUUACGUUUUUUCCAGUACUAGGGGUUGAACCCAGGGCAUUUAGAUUAAGCUAUACCCCCCAGUCCAUCAGCCCAUCUCUUGAUCUCUAGUCAUCAGUAUGUGAAAAAUGCUAUAGAGCAUUAGACCUUUCAAAGGUGACAGGCACACAAAGUCACAAAAUUUCUCCUGAAAUUCUCUUCAUGGACUUCCAAGACCUAGGGUCAGACUGUCAGUAGGAACCAAAUAAAAGCUGCUUCAUUUACUUUUCUUCUUUUAUGUAGGAUAUCAGAGAUGAGGCAAGCAAGCGGAACCACUGAGCUAGAUCCUUGGCCCUAUUUAUUGUUCUUCUAAGAACAAAACAAAAUUAAAAUCAUAUAGAUUAGUAUCAAACUUGUUUCCCAAAAGUCAAUUUCACAUUUGUCAAAAAAUAAUUGAAUUAAUAUGACAGAUGCUACUUCACAGGGAACUUUCCCAACUAAGAGAAAGAUGUUAAAUGCAGGGUUGUGUGAUGUGUGAAUUUUCCACACUGACAAGACCAACAAUGGUAAAGGGUCUCUUUCUGUGGAAAAUCUGACUUGUCAACUUCCAUCAAAUGAAGAAAAUUAUUCAUUAUAACUGUUUCCUCCCAUACCAAAUAGUGAAAUAAUCUAUAGAGAUGUACAGCUUUUGACUUCAUUUUGAUCCAUAAUACCGAUUUUCUUUUUCUAAUGGUAAUCAAC